rnacentral:rRNA from 1 species
GGUUUUUUGUGUUGAUGAAAAAUCUAGCCUGCCCAAUGAGAUUUUAAUGGCCGCAGUAUUUUGACUGUGCUAAGGUAGCAUAAUCAUUAGUCUUGUGAUUUAAGACUGGAAUGAAAGGUUGGACGAAGGAAUAGCUGUCUUUAUAAUAUUUUGUUGAAAUUAAUAGUGUUGUGAAAAGGCAACUGAUUAGCUGAGGGACGAGAAGACCCUAUUGAGUUUAAUGGGUUUGUUAUGUCAUAGUUAUGGGUUUGUAAUUUGGCGUAAAAGAGUUCAUUUCGCUGGGGCGGUGUUAAGAGAUAGAUAUCUUUUAAAUAGAUUGGUGGAGGAACAUAUUUUGAGCCAAUUAUGAUUAGUUGAUAAUGAGAUCAAAUUACUGUAGGGAUAACAGCGUAAUAUUAUUGGAGAGUUCUUAUUGAUAAUAAAUUUUGCGACCUCGAUGUUGAAUUAAAAUUUCUGUUUGGUGAAGAAGCUGAAUUAGAUAGUCUGUUCGACUAUUAAAUUUUUACA